rnacentral:rRNA from 1 species
AACGCUGGCGGCAUGCCUCAUACAUGCAAGUCGAACGAGGUCUUCGGACCUAGUGGCGCACGGGUGAGUAACAUGUGGGAAUCUACCUGAAGGUUCGGAAUAACUGCGGGAAACUGUAGCUAAUACCGGAUGUGUCUGCAAAGAGAAAGAUUUAUCGCCUUCAGAUGAGCCCGCACUAGAUUAGCUAGUUGGUGAGGUAAUUGCUCCACCAAGGCUACGAUCUAUAGCUGAUUUGAGAGGAUGAUCAGCCACACUGGGACUGAGACACGGCCCAGACUCCUACGGGAGGCAGCAGUAGGGAAUAUUGGACAAUGGGGGAAACCCUGAUCCAGCAAUGCCGCGUGAGUGAAGAAGGCCUUCGGGUUGUAAAGCUCUUUCAUCAAUGAUGAUAAUGACAUUAGUGAAGAAGAAGCCCCGGCUAACU